ACCGCGGUAGCCUAGUUGGUUAGGGUGUCGGCAGUACUGAUGCCAAAGGUCGCAGGUUCAAAUCCUGCCUGCGGUG